GCACUAGUGGUCUAGUGGUAGAAUAGUACCUUCCCACGGUAUAGACUCGGGUUCGAUUCCUGGUGUGCA
rnacentral:tRNA from 1 species